rnacentral:rRNA from 1 species
AACGAACGCUGGCGGCAUGCCUAACACAUGCAAGUCGAACGAGACCUUCGGGUCCUGUCGCGCACGGGUGCGUAACGCGUGGGAACCUGCCCUUAGGUUCGGAAUAACUCCCCGAAUGGGGUGCUAAUACCGGAUAAUGUCUUCUGACCAAUCAUUUAUCGCCCUUGGAUGGGCCGGCGUUGGAUUAGCUAGUUGUUAGGGUAAAAGCCUACCAAGGCGCCGAUCCACAGCUGGGCUGAGAGGAUGAUCAGCCACACUGAGACUGGGACACGGCCCAGACUCUUACGGGAGGCAGGAGUGCGGAAUAUUGGACAGUGGCCGGAAGCAUGAUGCAGCAAUGCCGCGUGAGUGAUGAAGGCCUUGGAGUAGUAAAGCUCUUUUACCCGGGAUGAUAUUGACAGUACCGAGAGAAAAAGCUCCGGCUAACUCCGUG